AGGGAGUUUNCAUCCUGGGGGCUCAGGAUGAACGCUGGCGGCGUGCUUAACACAUGCAAGUCGAACGAUGAACCUCACUUGUGGGGGGAUUAGUGGCGAACGGGUGAGUAACACGUGAGUAACCUGCCCUUGACUCUGGGAUAAGCCUGGGAAACCGGGUCUAAUACUGGAUACGACCUUCUGGCGCAUGCCAUGUUGGUGGAAAGCUUUUGUGGUUUUGGAUGGACUCGCGGCCUAUCAGCUUGUUGGUGGGGUAAUGGCCUACCAAGGCGACGACGGGUAGCCGGCCUGAGAGGGUGACCGGCCACACUGGGACUGAGACACGGCCCAGACUCCUACGGGAGGCAGCAGUGGGGAAUAUUGCACAAUGGGCGCAAGCCUGAUGCAGCGACGCCGCGUGAGGGAUGAAGGCCUUCGGGUUGUAAACCUCUUUCAGUAGGGAAGAAGCCGGCCUUUCGGGGUUGGUGACGGUACCUGCAGAAGAAGCGCCGGCUAACUACGUGCCAGCAGCCGCGGUAAUACGUAGGGCGCAAGCGUUAUCCGGAAUUAUUGGGCGUAAAGAGCUCGUAGGCGGUUUGUCGCGUCUGCCGUGAAAAGUCCGGGGCUUAACCCCGGGAUCUGCGGUGGGUACGGGNCAGACUAGAGUGCAGUAGGGGAGACUGGAAUUCCUGGNUGUAGCGGUGAAAUGCGCAGAUAUCAGGAGGAACACCGAUGGCGAAGGCAGGUCUCUGGGCUGUAACUGACGCUG
rnacentral:rRNA from 1 species